rnacentral:pre_miRNA from 2 species
AGGGCAACUCUGGCUGGGUCAUCGUGAAAUAUUUGCUAUGCCUUGCCUUCUCUUGCCUUGG